GAUGAACGCUGGCGGCGUGCCUAAUACAUGCAAGUCGAGCGAACAGACGAGGAGCUUGCUCCUCUGACGUUAGCGGCGGACGGGUGAGUAACACGUGGAUAACCUACCUAUAAGACUGGGAUAACUUCGGGAAACCGGAGCUAAUACCGGAUAAUAUAUUGAACCGCAUGGUUCAAUAGUGAAAGACGGUUUUGCUGUCACUUAUAGAUGGAUCCGCGCCGCAUUAGCUAGUUGGUAAGGUAACGGCUUACCAAGGCAACGAUGCGUAGCCGACCUGAGAGGGUGAUCGGCCACACUGGAACUGAGACACGGUCCAGACUCCUACGGGAGGCAGCAGUAGGGAAUCUUCCGCAAUGGGCGAAAGCUUGACGGAGCAACGCCGCGUGAGUGAUGAAGGUCUUCGGAUCGUAAAACUCUGUUAUUAGGGAAGAACAAAUGUGUAAGUAACUAUGCACGUCUUGACGGUACCUAAUCAGAAAGCCACGGCUAACUACGUGCCAGCAGCCGCGGUAAUACGUAGGUGGNCA
rnacentral:rRNA from 1 species